rnacentral:rRNA from 1 species
UUGUUUCUUCAUACUAAGGUACUGUGCCAACCCGAUUGAGAGAACGCCACUCUCGCGUUGAAAGUUUGUGAAACUUUCCCAACUUGCAGGCCUGAUCAGCUUGUGACCCAACAUAUGAUUCUUUUUCGCCUAAACUACUUCUGAGAACUUUUGCAAAGACUUUACCGUUUGGUACCAGAACUGCUCUUUCCUAUCCAGAACACUAGCCCAUUCACUUUGGCCUAGGCCUAUUGACUUGAAUUUAACUCUUCUGGUGAACUGAAACUACACUAACAAUUAUUCUACUUACCUUAUGCCUUUUUGCUCACUUCUAAGUAACUGCCAUUUGGGUCCUAUUUCAGGGGAGCUCAAACGGUCUCAACAUCUUAAGAGUUUUGUAUUGAAGUGUAUUGGUAUAUAAUCUUAAAUUGCCUCCUCCUAGUGAAAUGUUUUCUAAAUGAUUGUGUAAUAAAUUAAUUAGUGUUUUACCAAGAAACCUUGAGUAUAAGUGUCUACUUGAACCACUGUGAUUGAAAGUCCUCUGUGUAAUGACUUGUACUGCUCACAUUCACUCUUGAGAUAAGCCUGGCUGCUCAGCUCGCUACCAAAAACUGUGUGGUACAGACUUAUACCAAAGGUUGGUUUGGCUUAUACCUGUAGUCCUAAUUGUGUUUGGUGGUCCCAGAGGAUACUGCAUGCAGUUCUACCUAACAGAAACAUGGACCAAGGAGUCUAACGCGUGCACGAGUCGGACAGUUGAACAAAACUCUGUGGUGCAAUGGUGAGGGCCGGCGCGCUCUAGCUGGGGUGGGAUCCCAUUGCCGCCGGCCGUCUCGCCCACUCUGUCAGGGAGGUGGAGCAUGAGCAUGUGUGAUAGGACCCGAAAGAUGGUGAACUAGGCCUGGGCAGGACGCAGCCAGAGGAAACUCUGGUGGAGGUCCGUAGCGGUCCCGACGUACAAAUCGGUCAUCCGACCUGGGUAUGGGGGCGAAAGACUAAUCGAACCAUUUAGUAGCUGUUCCCUCCGAAGUGUCCCUCAGGAUAGCUGUUGCAUGGAAACCCCAGUUUUAUCUGGUAAAGCGAAUGAUUAACGGUCUUGGGGCUGCAAUGACCUCAACCUAUUCUCAAACUUUAAAUGGGUAAGAAGUCUGGCUCGCUGGCGUGGAGCCGGGCAUUGAAUGCAAGUGCCCAGUGGGACACUUGUGGGAUGAACCGAAUGCUGGGUUAAGACGCCUGAUGCCGACGUUCCUCAGACCCCAGAAAAGGUGUUGGUUGAUAUAGACAGCAGGGCGGUGGCCAUGAAAGUCGGAAUCCACUAAGGAGUGUGUUAAAACUCACCUGCCGAAUCAACUAACCCUGAAAAUGGAUGGCGCUGGAGCGUCUGGCCUGCACCUGGCUGGCUCUGAGCCGCAACGAGGAGCAGGGCAGAUGCGGUGCGCACAGAAGUCUGGGGCAAGGGCCCGAGUGGAGCCCCUGCAGGUGCAGAUUUUAGUGGUAGUAGUAAAUAUUCAAACAAGAACUUUGAAGGCUGAAGUGGAGAAGGGUUCCAUGUGAAUCACAGUUGAACAUGGGUCAGUCAGUCCUAAAAAAUGGUCGAGCGUCAUUUGGAAGGGACGGGAGAUGGCCUCUGUUGCCCUCAGCAAAUCCCUCAAACCCAGAGUGGUGAACAGAGGCUCCCUUGCGGCGUCUAGUGCGGUAACGCAAACAAUCCCAGAGAAGCUGGCAGGAUCCCCAGGGAGAGUUCUGUUUUCCUUGUGAAGGGCAAGGUACCCUGGAAUGGGUUCGGUCCGAGAGAGGGGCCCGAGCCCUGGAAAGCAGUGCGGAUCUGGCGGCGUCCAGGGAGCUCUCGCUGUUCCUUGAAAAUCUGGGGGAGAUGGUGUAAAUCUCGCGCCAGGCCGUACCCAUAUCCGCAGCAGUUCUCCAAGGUGAACAGCCUCUGGCAUGUUGGAACAAUGUAGGUAAGGGAAGUCGGCAAGUUUGAUCCGUAACUUCGGGAAGAGGUUGGUCGGGCUGGGGUGUGAGGCGGGGCUGGCCCCAUGCCGCAGCUGGAUGAAGCCUCUCCCCCGGGGGCGGCAACGACUCAGAAUGUGAGCAAGGCCCUUCCUGUGGAUUGCCUCACCUCCGGUGGUCGCCUCUAUGCUUUCCCCUCCCGGGGUUCAGGGCUGUCAUUCUGCCUCGGUCGACGCUAGCAGCUGACUUAGAACUGGUGCGCACCAGGGGAAUCCAACUGUUAAAAUUAAGACAAAGCAUCACGUAAGGCCCACGGUGGGUGUUGACGCUCUGAAUGUCAAAGUGAAGAAAUGUCAAUGAAGCGCGGGUAAACGGCAAGAGUAACUAUGACUCUCUUAAGGUAGCCAAAUGCCCCGUCGUCUAAUUAGUGACACGUAUGAAAGGAUAAACGAGAUUCCCACUGUCCCUACCUACUAUCUAUCAACACCACAGCCAAAGAAAAUGGUCUUGACAGAAUCAGUGGGGACGGAAUAACCCCGUUGAGAUUCACUCUAGUCUGGCACCGUGAAGAGACAUGCAAGGUGUAGGCUAAGUGGGAGCCCUCAGUGAAAUACCGCUAUCUUUUUUUCACUUAACUGGUGAGGCGGUGGCAACCCGCUCUGGGACAGUGGCAGGUGGGGAGUUUGACUGGGGCGGUACACCUGGCAAACCACAACGCAGGUGUCCUAAGGCGAGCUCAGGGAGAACAGAAACCUCCCACAGAGCAGAAGGGCAAAAGCUUGGUUGGUCUCGAUUUCAGUAUGAAUACAGACCAUGAAAGAGGGGCUUCAGGAUCCUUCAGACUUUUUGGGUUUCAAGCAGGAGGUGUCAGAAAGUUACCACAGGGAUAACUGGCUUGUGGCGGGCAAACGUUUCUAGCGAUGUCACUUUUGAUCAUUCGAUGUCGGCUCUUCCUAUCAUUGUGAAGCAGAGUUCACCAAGCAUUGGAUUGUUCACCCACUAAUAGGGAACAUGAGCUGGGUUUAGACCGUUGUGAGCCAGGUUAGUUUUACCCUACUAAUGAUGUGUUGUUGCAAUAGUAAUCCUGCUCAGUACGAGAGGAACCACAGGUUCAGACAAUUGGUGUAUGUGCUUGGCUGAGGAGCCAAUGGGGUGAAUUCAGGCAUUGACUGAACACCUCUAAGUCAGAAUCCUCCCUAACCGUAACGGUACCGCAGCACUGUGGAGCCUUGGUUGGCCUAGGAUAGCCGGCUUCUGGGGCGGUGCAUAGAGCCGCUCGCCUCUGGACUCGAGUGUGAACAGAAGGGGGCCCCCUCUUUCGCCCAUAGUGCACCACAU